rnacentral:rRNA from 1 species
UCGAGAAUCUUCCGCAAUGCGCGCAAGCGUGACGGAGCGACGCCGCGUGGGGGAAGAAGGCCUUCGGGUUGUAAACCCCUGUCGACCUGGAAAGAAUGGCGGGUAGUUAAUAGCUUUCUCGCUUGACGGUACCAGGACAGGAAGCACCGGCUAAAUACGUGCCAGCAGCCGCGGUAAUACGUAUGGUGCAAACGUUGUUCGGAAUCACUGGGCUUAAAGAGCACGUAGGCGGUUAAGAAAGUCUGAUGUGAAAUCCCUCGGCUCAACCGAGGAACUGCAUCAGAAACUUCUUAGCUUGAGUGCAGAAGGGGAGAGUGGAAUUCCUGGUGGAGCGGUGAAAUGCGUAGAUAUCAGGAGGAACGCCGGUGGCGAAAGCGACUCUCUGGUCUGCAACUGACGCUAAGGUGCGAAAGCUAGGGGAGCGAACGGGAUUAGAUACCCCCGUAGUCC